UUUAUAACUUGCCCUCCGGGGUAGAUCUCCCACCCUCUGUUUACAUACUUUGUUGCUUUGGCAGGCCCGUCUUCGGACCGCCGGCUUCGGCUGGCCCGUGCCUGCCAGAGGAUUCAAAACUCUGAUAAUUAUGUCGUCUGAGUACUAUUAUAAAUAGUUA
rnacentral:misc_RNA from 1 species